CUUAUUUUUAAUCAUUUUAGCCAAUCCUCCUCUACUGCCUUCCCUGCUUUUUCAACAUGCUAACUGCUGCCAACAGAAACAGACUCAC